AGAGGGUGUGCAGGGGGAGUAUGAUGAUGUGAAGAACAUCAGGGAAAAUAUGAGUGACAUGUUUGACUAUGAUGAUGUGGAGGAAUAUCCAGGAAAACAUGGAAGGGUUGUAUAACUCAAACCACACACACCGCCUCAAAUCAAAGUGUUUAAGUGGUCUGAAAAGUGUUUAAGAUCACCCUAUAUACUGUAUGUUUUACCUGCAGUCCAGCAAUGUUUUAUGUUGCACUUUGUAUUGAAAUCUUCUAAUUCAGCUACAAUUUCUAAGAAAAAAAUGCAUUGCUUUAAAAAU